ensembl:snRNA U2 U2 spliceosomal RNA
AUCGCUUCUCGGCCUUUUGGCUAAGAUCAAGUGUGAACACUGCCCUUAAAUUGUGGCUCUGAACCAGUGGCCCCAACAUCAACAGUUGCUGAUUGGAAGCGCACACCUCUGGGUCAACCACAGCUCUCCCGACUGCACAGCUGCAUGUUCACAGCCUGCAGGUGGUGCCUACGUGCA